UGAACGAUUUAGGCUUGCUGGAGCUUCAGAGGCUGGCAUUUCAAUGGUUUUGAAAAACCAUUGUUCCAAUGGAGAUGCAGUAGAAGGAGAUGAGAAAGAGGAUAAGAAUGGUAAUGCUGAUGAUGGUCGUGAAUCAGAAAAGAGCAAAGAGACUGAUAAAGUAUAAGGGAAGUAACAAGUACUGAUAUUUUUUUUUAUGUGCAUGGCAGCAAUGAAUUAUGUCCAUAUAUUCCAUUAACAAUGAGUAUGAAAUGGUAUAGGGUAAGUGCUUUGUUCUCAGCUAAAAUCUUUUCUUUUGGAUUUGAGAAUUUUGGUCCCAACCAUGAACAACGAGCAUUGGUGUAUUUGAGCCACAUUCCUUUUUAAGGCUUGAUGUUUGCUUCAAGGUUAUGUUUGUCUCUUCACAUACUAAUGAGUUUCUCAUAAACAAUUUCAUAUGCGAAGGAUUUUGGACAUUAGUGCUUCUUCUUAUUGUGGUCUAAUAAUGCAAUUCUACGUACUUUAUCCCAUUAUUU
rnacentral:misc_RNA from 1 species